AACACAUAGGUCAACCUGUUCUUGCGGUACGAAGUGAAGAUCCCCAUUCGGUAGGGGUGAAGGCAGGACAGAUGACCAAGAACACAAAUAAUUCAAAGACAGCUGCAUCACCAAAGCCCACAAAGCUGGGAACCUUGGAGCACUCUGCACAGCUUGCAGGUAUGGCAGUAUCAGGGCUUCCAGUGAGUAGUGAUUGAGCUGUUAUUCUUCCUCUAGCCACUUGCCACAUGUAAGUGUUUAAAUUAUAUUA